rnacentral:rRNA from 1 species
UGAAUACGAGAUGCUACGGCGUCGAAGCAGUCUAUGUCAUACUUCCAAGAAAAGCUUGCACUGUCAUAAACAAAUAAUGCCUGUACCAUAACCGACACAGGUGGGUGGGUAGAGUAUACUAAGGGGCGCGAGAUAACUCUCUCUAAGGAACUCGGCAAAAUGACUCCGUAACUUCGGGAGAAGGAGUGCCUUAUUUUAUAAGGUUGCAAUAACAAGAUCCAAGCAACUGUUUACCAAAAACACAGGUCUCCGCUAAGUCGUAAGACGAUGUAUGGGGGCUGACGCCUGCCCAGUGCCAGAAGGUUAAAGAAGUUGGUUAGCAUCCGCGAAGCUGAUAACUGAAGCCCUGGUGAACGGCGGCCGUAACAAUAACGGUCCUAAGGUAGCGAAAUUCCUUGUCGGGUAAGUUCCGACCCGCACGAAAGGCGUAAUGAUUUGGAUACUGUCUCAGAGAGGGGCUCGGUGAAAUAGACUUGUCUGUGAAGAUGCGGACUACCUGCACCAGGACAGAAAGACCCUAUGAAGCUUUACUGUAACUUGAAAUUGAAAUUGGACUUUACUUGCGCAGUAUAGGUGGGAGGCGUUGAGAAUAUUCUUGCGGGAAUGUUGGAGCCAUCAGUGAGAUACCACUCUUGUAAUGUUAGAUUUCUAACUUUGUAUCAUUAUCUGGUCAAAGGACAGUUUCAGGCGGGCAGUUUGACUGGGGCGGUCGCCUCCCAAACGGUAACGGAGGCGCACAAAGGUUUCCUCUGAACGGGUAGAAAUCGUAUCUAGAGUGUAAAGGCAUAAGGAAGCUUGACUGUGAGACCUACAAGUCGAGCAGGGACGAAAGUCGGUCUUAGUGAUCUGACGGUGCUGAGUGGAAAGGCCGUCACUCAACGGAUAAAAGUUACUCUAGGAUAACAGGCUGAUCUCCCCCAAGAGUUCACAUCGACGGGGAGGUUUGGCACCUCGAUGUCGGCUCAUCGCAUCCUGGGGCGGUAGUACGUCCCAAGGGUUGGGCUGUUCGCCAUGAAAGCGGUACGCGAGCUGGGUUCAGAACGUCGUGAGACAGUUCGGUCCAUAUCCGGUGUAGGCGUUAGAAUAUUGAGAGGAGCCUUCUUUAGUACGAGAGGACCGAGAAGGACAUACCUCUGGUGUACCAGUUAUCGUGCCAACGGUAAACGCUGGGUAGCUAUGUAUGGAGUGGAUAACCGCUGAAAGCAUCUAAGUGGGAAGCCCACCUCAAGAUAAGUAUUCUC